UACAGAGGUCCCAAGCGUUGUUCGGAUUUACUGGGCGUAAAGGGCGCGUAGGCGGUCACGACAAGUCAGUUGUGAAAUCUCCGGGCUUAACUCGGAACGGUCAACUGAUACUGUCGGACUAGAGUGCAGAAGGGGCAACUGGAAUUCUCGGUGUAGCGGUGAAAUGCGUAGAUAUCGAGAGGAACACCUGCGGCGAAGGCGGGUUGCUGGGCUGACACUGACGCUGAGGCGCGAAAGCUAGGGGAGCGAACGGG
rnacentral:rRNA from 1 species